rnacentral:rRNA from 1 species
UACAGAGGGUGCAAGCGUUGUUCGGAAUCAUUGGGCGUAAAGCGCACGUAGGCGGCUUGCCAAGUCAGGUGUGAAAGCCUGGGGCUCAACCCCAGAAGUGCACUUGAAACUGGCGAGCUUGAAUGUCGGAGAGGGCAGUGGAAUUCCGAGUGUAGAGGUGAAAUUCGUAGAUAUUAGGAAGAACACCGGUGGCGAAGGCGGCCCACUGGUCCGGUACUGACGCUGAGGUGCGAAAGCGUGGGGAGCAAACAGG